GAUGAACGCUGGCGGCGUGCCUAAUACAUGCAAGUCGAGCGAACAGACGAGGAGCUUGCUCCUCUGACGUUAGCGGCGGACGGGUGAGUAACACGUGGAUAACCUACCUAUAAGACUGGGAUAACUUCGGGAAACCGGAGCUAAUACCGGAUAAUAUAUUGAACCGCAUGGUUCAAUAGUGAAAGACGGUUUUGCUGUCACUAAUAGAUGGAUCCACGUCGCAUUAGCUAGUUGGUAAGGUAACGGCUUACCAAGGCAACGAUGCGUAGCCGACCUGAGAGGGUGAUCAGCCACACUGGAACUGAGACACGGUCCAGACUCCUACGGGAGGCAGCAGUAGGGAAUCUUCCGCAAUGGGCGAAAGCCUGACGGAGCAACGCCGCGUGAGUGAUGAAGGUCUUCGGAUCGUAAAACUCUGUUAUUAGGGAAGAACAAAUGUGUAAGUAACUAUGCACGUCUUGACGGUACCUAAACAGAAAGCCACGGCUAACUACGUG
rnacentral:rRNA from 1 species